AAAAAAGCGUAUGAGAGUGGGACAGAAAUAAUAUUUUCUCAAAAUUUAUUUCGUUGUAUCCCCAGCUUGCUUAGCCUGUAGAAUUUCUUUAGGAAAUCCUCUUUGCUGGGCCCCGAACCCCAGCUUGCUUAGCUUGUAGAAUUUCUUUAGGAAAUUCUCUUUGCUGGGGCCCGGCCUACCAGGCAAGGAUGACUAGGUUUGAAAAAAGCUUGAUUCAAGUACAUUUUCAAAUCAGUCAAUUACUAACAAAAUGAUAAAAUAGGCUGAGACAUUUUAUUUU
rnacentral:ncRNA from 1 species